rnacentral:lncRNA from 1 species
AAUUGGUUCCCAGUUUGCUUGAAAUUUUGUGGUGAUUGUUUGAUUUUAAUUUCAGUAAAAGUGUGAAUGCAUGCUUAAUACACAUACACCAAUUAAUCCGUACAUAGUAAGGGCAAUCACCCCAACAAGAUAAGAACUGGAUUUCAUCACCAGAUUCUUGCCCAAAUUAGGUGAACCAAUUCGCACAUAGCUAUCACUUUAAUUAAAAUCAAUUAGACGUUGGCUCCUAGGGAUAUUCGAGCUCA